CUUGGUGAGAGCCGAGGGUGCUUCGGGAGCCAGAACACAGGUGCUGCAUGGCUGUCGUCAGCUCGUGUCGUGAGAUGUUGGGUUAAGUCCCGCAACGAGCGCAACCCUUGUCACUAGUUGCCAUCAUUUAGUUGGGCACUCUAGUGAGACUGCCGGUGACAAACCGGAGGAAGGUGGGGAUGACGUCAAGUCCUCAUGGCCCUUAUGGGUAGGGCUUCACACGUCAUACAAUGGUCGGUACAGAGGGUUGCCAAGCCGCGAGGUGGAGCCAAUCCCUUAAAGCCGAUCGUAGUCCGGAUCGUAGUCUGCAACUCGACUACGUGAAGUCGGAAUCGCUAGUAAUCGCAGAUCAGCACGCCGCGGUGAAUACGUUCCCGGGCCUU
rnacentral:rRNA from 1 species